GUGUAGUGUCCUCGUCAUAUUAUUAAUAAUAAUUUUAAAGUAGUUUUGUUAUUGUUAUCACUUAUCAGUCUUUAUUUACAUUGUGCAAUCAGUGACAGAUUAUCAGUCUUCGAAAACGACGAAAACUACCCACAGUACAGACUUCUAUACUUAAGAAAUCUGUAGCGAAAACACAUUGAAUGCGUAUUGCGUACUGCGUAGUGGCGACGAAAUGUACAACUAAGAUAAAAGCUGCAUUAACAAGGUCUUAUUUAUUGGCUCGGAAGUUGUUGGAGUUGUAUAUAGUUUUAUAUGCUCUCAGAUAAUAGCAUGUCUAGCUAGAAAUCUGAACUUUAUGAUGAUUUUAGGCAUAUGCCUCGCUCAAAAUCUAUGUGCUGUCAUAUUGGUACAAAAAGGCAGGUGGCAUUAAAGAUGAAAUUAUUCUUAAAACAUGAACAAACUAGUUUUUAAAUGUAUAUAAUAUACAUAUAACUACUUUUUUUCAUACUUAAAAUAGUGAUAAAAAGAUUGUGGCCUAACUUCUUAGUGAUUAAUUAAACAUGCUCUGAUUUUUAAUUAAUUCUCUUAAAUUUUAAUUGAGCAAUCACAACGUACCAUUAAUAUUAUACAUCACACAUAACUAGAUUCGAUUUUAG